rnacentral:rRNA from 1 species
UUAAAAAGCUCGUAGUUGGAUUUCUGUGAGAGUAUGAUGUCCUAACGUGUUUAGAGCGCAGAAAACUCUUGCAUCCUUCUGUUACCUCCACGUGGCAUUCGCUUGCCAGUGGUUGGCUCAGAGAAUUUACCUUGAGAAAAUUAGAGUGUUUCAGGCAGGCUUAGUCGGAAUACAUUAGCAUGGAAUAAUAGAAUAGGACUCCGGUCUCGUUGUUGGUUUGAGGGACUGUAGUAAUGAUAAAUAGGGAUAGUUGGGGGCAUUAGUAUUCGGUUGUCAGAGGUGAAAUUCUCAGAUUUAUUGAAGACUAACUUAUGCGAAAGCAUAUGCCAAGGAUGUUUUCAUUAAUCAAGAACGAAAGUUAGGGGAUCAAAGACGAUCAGAUACCGUC